rnacentral:rRNA from 1 species
AGAACGAACGCUGGCGGCAGGCCUAACACAUGCAAGUCGAACGCUCCGCAAGGGGAGUGGCAGACGGGUGAGUAACACGUGGGAACAUACCCUUCGGUUCGGAAUAACUCAGGGAAACUUGAGCUAAUACCGGAUAAGCCCUUACGGGGAAAGAUUUAUCGCCAAAGGAUCGGCCCGCGUCUGAUUAGCUUGUUGGUGAGGUAACGGCUCACCAAGGCGACGAUCAGUAGCUGGUCUGAGAGGAUGAUCAGCCUCACUGGGACUGAGACACGGCCCAGACUCCUACGGGAGGCAGCAGUGGGGAAUAUUGGACAAUGGGCGCAAGCCUGAUCCAGCCAUGCCGCGUGGGUGAUGAAGGCCCUAGGGUUGUAAAGCCCUUUCGGCGGGGAAGAUAAUGACGGUACCCGCAGAAGAAGCCCGGCUAACUUCGUGCCAGCAGCCGC